AUUAUCUUGGAACAUGUGUUUUAAAUUACACAACCUAAGAGAUAGGAUCGACUUAUUUUAAAACUGAUCUAGUUGGCGAGUUAUUGUGUCCAACAAUGAAGUUAUUCGUUUUUCUUUGCCUUUUGGCAUGUUUGACUGCAAUGGUAGCAGUUGAAGGUAGGUCAUUGUUGGACAGUUUGUGUAUAGGACAGAUAGAUUGUUUCAUCAGCGGGUGUAUGCUGGCUAACUGUCCAGUCAAAUGUGUUGAAACAUGCAACUGUGGACAUUACUGUACAGUCUAACAUCCUACAGUCUAACUUUGGAAAACUUGGCUAUAAGAUGUAAAAAAUAAAGGAAACUAUCGUAUAUUGAAAACAGAAUUGAACAUUGUUUGUAUGACGUCAAUAAACUGGAUGGAAUAAAGGAGGACACACACAAAACAAAA